rnacentral:lncRNA from 1 species
GGCCGAGGUAAAACAUGUAAAAUGUCGAAAAACAUGUUUUCGAAAAGCUAGAAAUGCCGCGGGAACUUUAACAUUAGAACAGCAAGAAACAAUCAAAAGUAACGGGGCAUUUUAUAGUAACAUUUAGCUACAUACAUUGAAUAUUAAGUACAUUUAUUUAAUUUUUCUCAUGAUUUUUUUCGACUGAUGAUUUCUGUUGUUUCCUGGUGCCCAAACUGUACAUGUAUGCCAGUUAUCUGAGAUCAACUUUGCCUGGUGGAAUUGAAACCUG